rnacentral:rRNA from 1 species
AGAGUUUGAUCCUGGCUCAGGAUGAACGCUGGCGGCGUGCCUAACACAUGCAAGUCGAACGAGGUAAAUGAGAUGAAGUUUUCGGAUGGAUUCUUAUUUACCGAGUGGCGGACGGGUGAGUAACGCGUGGGUAACCUGCCUCAUACAGGGGGAUAACGAUUGGAAACGAUUGCUAAUACCGCAUAAGCGCACAGUACCACAUGGUGCAGUGUGAAAAACUCCGGUGGUAUGAGAUGGACCCGCGUCUGAUUAGCUAGUUGGUGAGGUAACGGCCCACCAAGGCAACGAUCAGUAGCCGACCUGAGAGGGUGACCGGCCACAUUGGGACUGAGACAUGGCCCAGACUCCUACGGGAGGCAGCAGUGGGGGAUAUUGCACAAUGGAGGAAACUCUGAUGCAGCGACGCCGCGUGAGUGAAGAAGUAUUUCGGUAUGUAAAGCUCUAUCAGCAGGGAAGAAAAUGACGGUACCUGACUAAGAAGCCCCGGCUAACUACGUGCCAGCAGCCGCGGUAAUACGUAGGGGACAAGCGUUAUCCGGAUUUACUGGGUGUAAAGGGAGCGUAGACGGCGAUGCAAGUCUGAAGUGAAAUACCCGGGCUCAACCUGGGAACUGCUUUGGAAACUGUAUGGCUAGAGUGCUGGAGAGGUAAGCGGAAUUCCUAGUGUAGCGGUGUAAUGCGUAGAUAUUAGGAGGAACACCAGUGGCGAAGGCGGCUUGCUGGACGACAACUGACGCUGAGGCGCGAAAGCGUGGGGAGCAAACAGGAUUAGAUACCCUGGUAGUCCACGCUGUAAACGAUGAAUACUAGGUGUGGGGGGACUGACCCCCUCCGUGCCGCAGUUAACACAAUAAGUAUUCCACCUGGGGAGUACGACCGCAAGGUUGAAACUCAAAGGAAUUGACGGGGGCCCGCACAAGCAGUGGAUUAUGUGGUUUAAUUCGACGCAACGCGAAGAACCUUACCAGGACUUGGCAUCCAACUAACGAAGUAGAGAUACAUCAGGUGCCCUUCGGGGAAAGUUGAGACAGGUGGUGCAUGGUUGUCGUCAGCUCGUGUCGUGAGAUGUUGGGUUAAGUCCCGCAACGAGCGCAACCCCUAUUGUUAGUUGCUACGAAAGAGCACUCUAGCGAGACUGCCGUUGACAAAACGGAGGAAGGCGGGGACGACGUCAAAUCAUCAUGCCCCUUAUGUCCUGGGCUACACACGUAAUACAAUGGUGGCCAACAGAGGGAAGCGAAGCCGUGAGGCAGAGCAAAUCCCUAAAAGCCAUCUCAGUUCGGAUUGCAGGCUGCAACUCGCCUGCAUGAAACUGGAAUUGCUAGUAAUCGCGGAUCAGCAUGCCGCGGUGAAUACGUUCCCGGGCCUUGUACACACCGCCCGUCACGCCAUGAGAGUCGGGAACACCCGAAGUCCGUAGUCUAACCGCAAGGGGGGCGCGGCCGAAGGUGGGUCCGGUAAUUGGGGUGAAGUCGUAACAAGGUA